AGCGAACGCUGGCGGCGUGCUUAACACAUGCAAGUCGAACGUGAAAGUAGCAAUAUGAGUAAAGUGGCGUACGGGUGAGUAACACGUGGGUAAUCUACCAAAGAGUCUGGAAUAACCGGCCGAAAGGCUGGCUAAUACUGGAUAGAUCAAGCGCAUUAUAAAGGUGCGAUUGGGAAAGGGAGCUCGUAAGAGCCUUCGCUUUUUGAUGAGCCCGCGUCUGAUUAGCUAGUUGGUGAGGUAAUGGCUCACCAAGGCGACGAUCAGUAGCUGGUCUGAGAGGAUGAUCAGCCACACUGGAACUGAAACACGGUCCAGACUCCUACGGGAGGCAGCAGUGGGGAAUCUUGCGCAAUGGACGAAAGUCUGACGCAGCCACGCCGCGUGAGUGAAGAAGGCCUCGGUUGUAAG
rnacentral:rRNA from 1 species